rnacentral:rRNA from 1 species
GACGAACGCUGGCGGCGUGCUUAACACAUGCAAGUCGAACGGAAAGGCCCUGCUUUUGUGGGGUGCUCGAGUGGCGAACGGGUGAGUAACACGUGAGUAACCUGCCCUUGACUUUGGGAUAACUUCAGGAAACUGGGGCUAAUACCGGAUAGGAGCUCCUGCUGCAUGGUGGGGGUUGGAAAGUUUCGGCGGUUGGGGAUGGACUCGCGGCUUAUCAGCUUGUUGGUGGGGUAGUGGCUUACCAAGGCUUUGACGGGUAGCCGGCCUGAGAGGGUGACCGGCCACAUUGGGACUGAGAUACGGCCCAGACUCCUACGGGAGGCAGCAGUGGGGAAUAUUGCACAAUGGGCGGAAGCCUGAUGCAGCAACGCCGCGUGCGGGAUGACGGCCUUCGGGUUGUAAACCGCUUUCGCCUGUGACGAAGCGUGAGUGACGGUAAUGGGUAAAGAAGCACCGGCUAACUACGUGCCAGCAGCCGCGGUGAUACGUAGGGUGCGAGCGUUGUCCGGAUUUAUUGGGCGUAAAGGGCUCGUAGGUGGUUGAUCGCGUCGGAAGUGUAAUCUUGGGGCUUAACCCUGAGCGUGCUUUCGAUACGGGUUGACUUGAGGAAGGUAGGGGAGAAUGGAAUUCCUGGUGGAGCGGUGGAAUGCGCAGAUAUCAGGAGGAACACCAGUGGCGAAGGCGGUUCUCUGGGCCUUUCCUGACGCUGAGGAGCGAAAGCGUGGGGAGCGAACAGGCUUAGAUACCCUGGUAGUCCACGCUGUAAACGGUGGGUACUAGGUGUGGGGUCCAUUCCACGGGUUCCGUGCCGUAGCUAACGCUUUAAGUACCCCGCCUGGGGAGUACGGCCGCAAGGCUAAAACUCAAAGGAAUUGACGGGGCCCCGCACAAGCGGCGGAGCAUGCGGAUUAAUUCGAUGCAACGCGUAGAACCUUACCUGGGUUUGACAUGGAUCGGGAGUGCUCAGAGAUGGGUGUGCCUCUUUUGGGGUCGGUUCACAGGUGGUGCAUGGCUGUCGUCAGCUCGUGUCGUGAGAUGUUGGGUUAAGUCCCGCAACGAGCGCAACCCUUGUUCACUGUUGCCAGCACGUUAUGGUGGGGACUCAGUGGAGACCGCCGGGGUCAACUCGGAGGAAGGUGGGGAUGACGUCAAGUCAUCAUGCCCCUUAUGUCCAGGGCUUCACGCAUGCUACAAUGGCUGGUACAGAGAGUGGCGAGCCUGUGAGGGUGAGCGAAUCUCGGAAAGCCGGUCUCAGUUCGGAUUGGGGUUUGCAACUCGACCUCGUGAAGUCGGAGUCGCUAGUAAUCGCAGAUCAGCAACGCUGCGGUGAAUAAGUUCCCGGG